rnacentral:misc_RNA from 1 species
GAUGAAGAACGCAGCGAAAUGCGAUAAGUAAUGUGAAUUGCAGAAUUCAGUGAAUCAUCGAAUCUUUGAACGCACCUUGCGCUCCCUGGUAUUCCGGGGAGCACGCCUGUUCGAGUGUCGCGAUAUUCUUCAAGCCUUGGAUGGAUUUUUUUUUUGUCUGUUCUUGGGCUUGGUUGUUGGGCUCUGCCGUGUCCUUCAUUGGGACGGCUGGCCUUAAAAGCAUUAGCCGAUCCUCGUGUGGUACUGGUUCUACUCAGCGUGAUAACAAUCUGAUCGUUGAGGACAUCUUCUGGAUGGCCAGUCAUCAUUUGGGUUGCUUCUAAACCGGUUUCGCAGAUUGCUCAAUCUGUGUGCCACUUUUCAGCUUUGACCUCGAAUCAGGUGGGACUACCCGCUGAACUUAAGCAUAUCAAUAAGCGGAGGA